CGCGAUGACCAAUUGUGCGAA
rnacentral:siRNA from 1 species